AGGGAGACCAGAGCCGUCUCUCUGCCACGUGAGGACGCAGCGGGCCAGCCAGAAAGAGAGCGCUCCGCAGGGGCGGAGUCUUGUGACAUCUGGUCUUGGACUUGCCAGACACCAUGGCUGUGGAAACAAUGAUUGUUGUUUGAGCGGGUUGUCCAGGGCACUUUGUCACAGCUGCCCAAGCCGCCUGAUACACAGCCCUCACUGAUGUGGAGACGGAGGCUUAGCGAUGAGAAGAAACUGGCCUCUCCUGUUGUUUUGUGGCUGAGAAGCAGCAAAGUGGAUUCUAACUGGAGCCCUGGCUGGUACAGCCAACAUCAAAGCACUACAGUCAACAUCAAAGCCUGCGGCAAAUCUGGAUGUAUCAGUCUCAAAGGGCACAAGUACCUUUCACACACAGAAACAAUUUUUAAAAUACUUCAUUUUGGGGCACCUGGGUGGCUCCGUCCG